CCUACGGGAGGCAGCAGUGAGGAAUAUUGGUCAAUGGGCGAGAGCCUGAACCAGCCAAGUCGCGUGAGGGAGUACUGCCCUAUGGGUUGUAAACCUCUUUUGUCGGGGAGCAACAGCCGGACGUGUCCGGCUGUGAGAGUACCCGAAGAAAAAGCAUCGGCUAACUCCGUGCCAGCAGCCGCGGUAAUACGGAGGAUGCGAGCGUUAUCCGGAUUUAUUGGGUUUGAAGGGUGCGCAGGCGGAGUUUUAAGUCAGCGGUAAAAUCGUGGGGCUCAACCCCAUCCAGCCGUUGAAACUGGGGAUCUAGAGUGUGCGAGAGGUAUGCGGAAUGCGUGGUGUAGCGGUGAAAUGCAUAGAUAUAACGCAGAACCCCGAUUGCGAAGGCAGCAUACCGGUGCACAACUGACGCUCAGGCACGAAAGCGUGGGUAUCGAACAGGAUUAGAUACCCGUGUAGUC
rnacentral:rRNA from 1 species